GUGAAUCAUCGAAUUUUUGAACGCAAAUUGCACUCUCUUCGGAGAGGAUGCGUGUUUGAGGGUGAGCCUAAAAAUAAUCGACGUAGUCACUGUUUCGCGGUGACAUUCGUCGGAAAUUGGGACAUCUUAAACCUUUGGGGUUUUUAAGUGGCUUAAAAUGUUCUUUACGAUUCAACGAACGUUUCUAAGUUUUUACUUCUUACACAC
rnacentral:misc_RNA from 1 species